GACAGAGGUGCCGAGCGUUAGGCGGAAUCACUGGGCUUAAAGCGUGUGUAGGCGGGCCGUUAAGGGUCUUGUGAAAUCCCCCGGCUCAACCGGGGAAUUGCUGGGCAUACUGGCGGUCUUGAGCGAUCUAGGGGCAGAUGGAACAAGUGGUGGAGCGGUGAAAUGCGUAGAUAUCACUUGGAACGCCAAAGGUGAAGACAGUCUGCUGGGGAUCUGCUGACGCUGAGACACGAAAGCCAGGGGAGCGAACGGG
rnacentral:rRNA from 1 species